GACGAACGCUGGCGGCGUGCUUAACACAUGCAAGUCGAACGAACAGGCCCUGCUUUUGCUUUGUUCUCGAGUGGCGAACGGGUGAGUAACACUCGAGUAACCUCCCCUUGACUUUGUGAUAACUUCAGGAAACUGCGGCUCAUACCGGAUAGAAGCUCCUGCUGCAUGGUGGGGGUUGGAAAGUUUCGGCGGUUGGGGAUGGACUCGCGGCUUAUCAGCUUGUUGGUGGGGUAGUGGCUUACCAAGUCUUUGACGGGUAGCCGGCCUGAGAGGGUUAACGGGCACAUUGGGACUGCGAUACGGAUCAGUGUCGUACGGGAGGCAGCAGUGGAAAAUAUUGCGCAAUGGCCGCACGCAUGAUGCAGCAACGCCGCGUGCGGGAUGAGGGCCUUCGAGUUGUAAACAGAUUUCGACUGUGCCGAGGAGAGAGUGACGGUAAUGGAUAAAGAAGCAACGGCUAACUACGUG
rnacentral:rRNA from 1 species